ACGGCAGUUUGGAUUUCCGGCGGGAACGCACACAGACCCAGAGAGGGGAGCCGGGGCUGGAAGCCCGGAGCAAUUACUUGGCUGCUUCAUGAGAACCAAGGCGCCCCGCCUUUCCAGUUGAUCGCAGGAAGAAAAAAGAAUUCAGUCCUUUUUAACUGGCUACGUGCAAAGCAAGUUUGUUGACAGCAUUCACACAAUUGACAGGUCAGCAUUAACACAAUUGACCUGGAAUUCGUUGCAGCAAACACUGCUUUUUCACAUCUUUCCAUCUGCUUGCGAAGUGAAAGUAACUGUAUCUUGAAUUUUCACAAAUAAAGAAUUGACUGUACAUUUCGGAAA